GGUCAGUAGGUUGGUCGUGCCACCGGUACGUACUGGUCUCACUGAUUCCUCCUUCCUGAAGAACCGUAAUGCCAUUAAUUUGGUGUUGCGGGGAAACAGGACUGUUACUUUGAAAAAAUUAGAGUGUUUAAAGCAAGCCAACGCUUGAAUACAUUAGCAUGGAAUAAUGAAAUAGGACGAUCGAUCCUAUUUUGUUGGUUUCUAGGAUUGACGUA
rnacentral:rRNA from 1 species